GACGCAUUUACGCAGGAGCAAUGUCACAGUUGCAACACCGACUUGUUCUAAACUGUAUAAUAAUUUUCAUAAACCACAGAUACGGAUGUUCAUCCUUAUUCCAACAACGAUUUGCAUAACAUUGCCAAUCCCUUGUGAGGGCCGUGUAGUGGGGCCCGUGAGCGGCAGAUGAGGCUGGGGUCCAGCUCCAGCGGCGCCCUGCAGCACCCAAAUGGUCUCCCCCACUAUGAAGGCACUGGUGGAUGCCGCGUGGGCGGUGUGGAGCAUCGGUGCCUCCGUCUAUGACUACAUCCACACCAGCGCCAUGGAGGAGCGCAUCCACACGCUGGAGACCGUCACCACCAUCCACCAGUGUGUCAUCGCAGCGCUGACCGCUGGAGUGGUGGUGCUCUUCACCUACAUACUGUUGAGGAAGCACUGAGGGGGAGUGAGGAAGGAGAAGCCACGCAGGGCCCAGGAGGCAAGUUUUGAGGACAACACUGGAUUACCAUAGUGAUCAGAAGCAUUGAGAGUGUGGGUCUGGAAAGUCAUCCAGACCUACAUGGAUGAGAUGGGGCAGGACAUGAUUAAUAAGGGAUUUUGGCUACUAGAAAAGUUUUUGACUAUUUGGCCUUUAUCUCGACUGCCAAUUGUAUCAUUCUACUGCGGAGGUGUUGCUGGACACUGUGUGUCUCAGUGAGUCAAUAGUUUCACUCGCUUUGCACCAAUGGAAGAAGACAUGGGCAGAAGAUGCAUCAAAAUGUAUCUUUUUACAAAUACAAGUUACUUUAAAGUAGAGGUCGACCGAUUAUGAUUUUUCAACGCCGAUACCGAUUAUUGGAGGACCAAUAAAAGCAGAUAAUUGGUAUCGGCUUUUAUUGGUAUAUAUAUAUAUUUAUAUAUUUAUAAUAAUGACAAUUACAACAAUACUGAAUGAACAAUGAACACUUAUUUUAACUUAAUAAAAUACAUACAUAAAAUCCAUUUAGUCUCAAAUAAAUAAUGAAACAAACUCAAUUUGGUUAAAAUAAUGCAAAAACACAGUAUUGGAGAAAAAAGUAAAAGUGCAGUAUGUGCCAUGUAAAAAAGCUAACAUUUAAGUUCCUUGCUCAGAACAUAUGAAAGCUGGUGGGUCAAUAUUCCCAGUUAAUACAUUUUUGGUUGUAGUUAUUAUAGAAAUUAUGACGCGUCGACUAUUUCUCUCUAUACCAUUUGUAUUUCAUAUACCUUUGACUAUUGGAUGUUUUAAUAGGCACUUUAGUAUUGCCAGCCUAAUCUCAGGAGUAGGCUUGAAGUCAUAAACAGCGCUGUGCCUCCAACAUUGCUAAGAGCUGCUGGCCAACACAGUAAAGUUUGAAUGAAUGCUUACUAGCCUGCUGCUGCCUACCAGCGCUCAGUCAGACUUAUCGAACGGGUGGCAACCCUAAGUCUAAACAUUGCUGUUAUGUCAUAAUUAUGUAAAAUUCUGGCAAAUUAGUUUGCAACGAGCCAGGCGGCCCAAACUGUUGCAUAUACCCUGACUUUGCUUGCACAACGCAAGAGAAGUGACACAAUUUCCCUAGUUAAUAUUGCCUGCUAUCAUGAAUUUCUUAUAACUAAAUAUGCAGGUUUUAAAAUAUAUACUUCUGUGUAUUGAUUUUAAGAAAGGUGUUGAUGCUUAUGGUUAGGUACAUUUGUGCAAAGAUUGUGCUUUUUUCGGCAAUGAGCUUUUGUUAAAUCAUCUCCCGUUUGGUGUGGUUGAAGUAGGCUGUGAUUCGAUGAUAAAUUAACAGCCACCACAUUGAUUAUAUGCAGCGCAGAACAAGCUCGUUAACCUAGUAAUAUCAUCAACCAUGUGUAGCUAACUAGUGAUUAUGUGAAGAUUGAUUGUUUUUUUAUAAGGUAAGUUUAAUGCUAGCUAGCAACUUACCUUGGCUCCUUGCUGCACACGCGUAACAGGUGGUCAGCCUGUCACACCAUUUCCUCGUGGAUUGCAAUGUCAUCGGCGUCCAUAAAUGCUGAUUACCAAUUGUUAUGAAGACUUGAAAUUGGCCCCAAUUAAAUCGGUGGGCCUCUACUCUAAAGACCAAUGUAUCAAACUAAAAUACAAAUUACUUUUGCAAAGUAUUGUAUUUAGAAAGAUUUAUUUUUUAAUACAAAAUACAUUUGCAAGUACACGCCUUCACUACAACAAUAGUCUUAGUAACGGAAACAAAAUCAACAACAUUUAACUUGCUAUGACUGUAAUAUGUGGUUGUUUAUCUACCUUGGUUGAAUGCACUGACUGUAAGUCGCUAUGGAUAAAUGUCUGCUAAAUGACCUAAAUGUAAAAAUGAACAAUUGCAAAGCACACUGGGUAUUAUUAUUGGCCUCAUUUUGUGGGUGGAGCUCAUCAAUAAUACCCACCAUGCUUUGCAGGUGGACAUUUUUUUACAUUUACAUGUUCACUCAGCAGACACUCAUAUAACACCAUAGUGCCGUGACUUCUGAUACCGAUGCAGGGUGAAAGGGGGCCACCAAAUGUUGAACCGCUAUAAAAUAAAAAAUAGUAUAGAAAAUGAUUUUGCAUUUUGAAAAUAUAAAUGACAGGUCUCGAAAGUAUCUUGUUACAAACUACAUUGGAUUGUAGUUCAGGCCGGUGAAAUGCAAAUGACAAAAUAUUCCAAAGUAAUUUACAUUUCAAACACAUGUAACAGGAAUACUGCCCAUCUCUGGAUGUGGCGAUGCUAAAACCACAGAGAUACCUCAACCUGCAGACUGUAAUCUAAUAGCGCACUAAAGGGAUGCUAACUAUCAUUAGGUUUUCCUGCCUUAAUAUGCCUCAAGUGGUUUCACUCCUCAGAUGGAAUAACAGUAUUAGUUAGAUAGGUUUUCAUGUUGGCACUAAUUGCUUAUCCCGCCUGUAUGAUGCAUGGGAAAACUGUAAACUGGGGAUUCCCUCUUCAAUAUAAUUGGAAGUCUUGGUCAUGAAGAUGAAAGCGUUCACUUAGACGUUAACUAUUAUAUCACCCAGUGAGGGAGAGUGGAAUAUCAUGGGACGGACUGAAUGGAUUCUCAAGAAGCCUUAUUUGUUGUCGAAAACUGGCCUCAAGGUUCUAUGAAUUACUCUGUAGGAGAAGGAGAGUUUCUGUGAAGCAUUCAAAGGUCAAUACACUGGUCGUCAUGAAUGCCAUUUAGUACAGUACAUGUUAUUUGAUAAAACAACUUUAAAGCAUGUUUAUUUGAUGACUAAAAUAAAUAAAUGUAGAUGGUCUUGUAAUGCAAGACUUUGUAGUGGCAUUCCGUGGCGUUAGUUGAACAUGGCUACAGCUGUGAAGGUUACGUCACUGGAAAGAGUAAUUAGAGGCAUCCUUACCUGUAAAAUGUGAAUCAACCUGAAUGUUUUGGUACAUUGUUUAUAAAUGCUUCAUUUUCAGUAAUGCUUGCACUCAUCAUUAAAAGGGUAUUAAACACAUUGUAGGCCUUAAAAAAAAGAAUCCAUGAAUGUUGUUUAAUCCAUUUAAAUUGUACACUUGCUACAAUAUAUGACGAAUACACAAUGUUUGCCCUAUCAUCUUGUUCAGAUUGCUAAAAUGGGCCUCAGUGAAAUGUUUCAGGUAAAUCAAAUGUGAGAAAGGCCUCCAUGGCAAUACAACAUUUAAUGAUCUCAUGGAUCUUUGUGUGAAUAUACAGUGCCUUCAGCCUUAUUCUAAAAUGGAUUAAAUAAAAACAUUUCCUCAGCAAUCUACUCACAAUACCCCAGAAUGACAAAGCAAAUACAAGUUCUUAGUAUUUUUCGUUAAUAAAAAAAUAAAUGAAAAACAUACCUUAUUAUUCAGUCCAUUUGCUAUGACACUUGAAAAUUGAGCUCAGGUGCAUCCUGUUUCCAUUGACAAUCCUUGAUGUUUCUACAAAUUAUUUUGUAGUAGUCCACCUUUGGUAAAUUCAAUUGAUUGGACAUGAUUUGGAAAGGCACACACCUGUCUAUAUAACAUCCCACAGUUGGCAGUGCAUGUCAGAGCAAAAACCAAGCCAUGAGGUCAAAGGAAUUGACCGUAGAGCUCAGAGAUAAGAUUGUGUCGAGGCACAGAUCUGGGGAAGGGUACCAAAAAAAUUCCUACAGCAUUGAAAGUCCCAAGAACACACUGGCCUCCAUCAUUCUUAAAUGGAAGAAGUUUGGAACCACCAAGAUUCUUCCUAGAGCUGGCCGCCCCGCCAAACUGAGCAAUCGGGGGAGAAGGGCCCUGGUCAGGGGGGUGACCAAGAACCCAAUGGUCACUCUGACAGAGCUCUAGAGUACCUCUGUGGAGAUGGGAGAACCUUCCAGAAGGACAACCAUCUCUGUAGCACUCCACGAAGCAAGCCUUUGUGGUAGAGUGGCCAGACGGAAGCCACUCCUCAGUAAAAGGCACAUGACAGCCCGCUUGGAGUGUGUCAAAAGGCACCCAAAAACUCUGACCAUGAGAAACAAAAUCUUCUGGUCUGAUGAAACCGAGAUUGAACUCUUUGGCCUGAAUGCAAAGUUUCACAUCUGGAGGAAACCUGGCACCAUCCCAACGGUGAAGCAUGGUAGUGGCAGCAUCAUGCUGUGGGGAUGUUUUUCAGUGCCAGGGACCGGGAGACUAGUCAGGAUCGAGGCAAAGAUGAACAGAGCAAAGUACAGAGAGAUCCUUAAUGAAAACCUGCUCCAGAGUACUCAGGACCUCAGGCUGUGGCGAAAGUUCACUUUCCAACAAGACGACGACCCUAAGCACACAGCAGAAACAACGCAGGAGUGGCUUCAGGUCUGAAUGUCCUUGAAUGUCCCAGCCAGAACCCAAUCGAGCAUCUCUGGAGACCUGGAAAUAGCUGUGCAGCAACGCUCCCCAUCCAACAUGACAGAGCUUGAGAGGAUCUGCAGAAAAGAAUGGGAGAAACUCCCCAUAUUUUACUGCUGCUCUUUAAUUACUUGUUCCUUUUAUUUCUUAUUCAUAUUUUUUAACUGCAUUGUUGGUUAGGGGCUUGUAAGUAAGCAUUUCACUGUAACGUCUACCUACACCUGUUGUAUUCGGUGCAUGUGACAAAUAACAUACCCAAGAAGACUCAAGUCUGUAAUCGCUGCCAAAGGUGCUUCAACAAAAGUACUGAGUAAAGGAUCUGAAUACUUAUGUAAAUGCAAUAUUUCACUUUUAUUUUCUAUAAAUUAUCAACAAUUUCUAAACACCUGUUUUUGAUUUGUCAUUAUGGGGUAUUGUGUGUAGAUUGUUGAGGAAAAAAACUAUUUACAUUUUUGAAGAAGGCUGUAAUGUAACAAAAUGUGGAAAAAGUCAAGGGGUCUGUACUAAGGUACAGGAGAGUGCAAUGUUCUGCCUGCAGAUAAAUGUCUUGUAUAGAGCUGAAUCUGUUAACACUAAUCAAGAAAAGGUUUUGCAGAGCACUGGUUGGUCGGUGGAUCUACUGCUAUCCCUAGGCUCCAAUCUGAGGAAGCAAGUUAGGGGUCGUUAUGCUCAUAAUACUCACAUGUAUUUAAGUAGUCAUGUGACGCACUGGUUAUUGAAACAGAAGAACGAUAAUCCCAUGUGCUACAAUGUGUGAUAUUGACCUACAGAUGGAACACUGUAGAAACACCCUGACCAAGGAGACUGUAGGGAUGCUUUUAUUUCAAGUUAACAGCGACAAGAUUCAUGUUUUGUAAAUACGUAAUAAAUGUUAUUUUCACUGA